rnacentral:rRNA from 1 species
AAUAGAUACCCAGGUAGUCCACGCCGUAAACGAUGAGUGCUAAGUGUUAGGGGGUUUCCGCCCCUUAGUGCUGCAGCUAACGCAUUAAGCACUCCGCCUGGGGAGUACGGUCGCAAGACUGAAACUCAAAGGAAUUGACGGGGGCCCGCACAAGCGGUGGAGCAUGUGGUUUAAUUCGAAGCAACGCGAAGAACCUUACCAGGUCUUGACAUCCCACUGACCGCUAUGGAGACAUAGUUUUCCCUUCGGGGACAGUGGUGACAGGUGGUGCAUGGUUGUCGUCAGCUCGUGUCGUGAGAUGUUGGGUUAAGUCCCGCAACGAGCGCAACCCUUGAUCUUAGUUGCCAUCAUUUAGUUGGGCACUCUAAGGUGACUGCCGGUGACAAACCGGAGGAAGGUGGGGAUGACGUCAAAUCAUCAUGCCCCUUAUGACCUGGGCUACACACGUGCUACAAUGGACGGUACAAACGGUUGCCAACCCGCGAGGGGGAGCUAAUCCGAUAAAACCGUUCUCAGUUCGGAUUGUAGGCUGCAACUCGCCUAC